UUAUUAUUAUUAUUAUUAUUUAAAACAAUUUAAAUAUAUAUAUAAAUUAAAACAAAAAAUGUACGUGUACGUGGUGUUUCCAGGAUUAGAUGACAAUGAAAAAAGCCACUAAUCAGGAUAAGCCACAGAGUCAGAUAUAGCACCCAAGCCAUUAUACCAAGAGGAACUAAUAAUCCCCCAGAAUUGGUAAUGGGCGCAAUUAAUCCAAUAAUACUUGAAAAAUUAAAAUCAAAACUAAUUAUUUGGGAUUAGGGCUCAGUGGAAGGAGAAGUCGUUAACGAAGAUAGGCUCACGGCGAGGCCGAAAACGGCACACGUCCACUGCCCUUCACAACACAUUAGUGUUUAACCUCAUCACAGCAUCCAAAUCCCUAAUUGUUUCAAAACCUUAAUUUCAGAUCUAAGAAAUUCUCAAUUAAUCGGAAGGCCUCAGUGUGUGUAACAAUCAGAUCAUUGAUAAAUAAAUUUAUCUCACUGAAAUCCGCUAAGAUAAUUAUGUUAUCAUCAUAAGCCCAUUCCAAUUACAUAUAAAAUUCAGUGAAAACAGAGAAAAAAAAAAGAGAGAGAGAGAGAAAGAGAGAGUCCUUACAAUAAUGAUACACUAUUACCGCUAAGAAAUAUCUAGAACAAAAACACUAUUACUCCUAAGAAAUAUCUAGAACAAAAAAAGAAAAACCCAAGUAUAUUUCCAACCAUAAUGGCUCUUCCUGUGCUGAGAAGCUUUUGAUUUUGACUGUCAUUCAUUACCCAACAAAAUAUGGUUACAAUGAAUCUUAAGAAUUAUCAUUCUCAGAACUCAGAAUAAAAGCCUGAAACAAAAAUAUAAGUUAAGAAGAGGGAAUUGAGAAUACAUAUAGUACACUAUUUUUUUUCCUUUUUUUUUUGGAAAAGAAAUUAUCAGUUAUCACCUAAUAUCAUAUACAAGGAGAUCAUGCAAAUCGACUGCCAUCAGAUCACAGCUGUCAGCCAUUUGCAAAUCUAUCAUUUCAUCAGAUUCAAGUGCAUUUUAGUUGGCCAUUACAUGAGAUUUGUUUAAUCAGCAGGAGUGCUGGACUUUAUAACCAAACAAGAAGCAUAAAAAAACAAUCGAAGGAUGGUAAGGCAUAGACACCUACCUGACCUAGUGCACCAUUAUCAUUUGUUCAUUUAUAGCCGUAGUAGAUGCACAUUUGCAAAACAAGAAGCUAUGAAAUGCAGAAUGUAUUUUAGGAGAUAUAUCAAGCAAAUGGGAACAAUAAGUUUCAGAUUUUAUUUGAAGAUGAUUUUUUUAUCUAAGUUUCAGAUUUUAUUUGCAGAUGAAUUUUAUCAACUUCCCACAAAAAGGUGGGAGAGGGAGGGCAAAGGGUAAAAUCCCCAGAUUUGAUCCGCCCUAGAAAAUUUAAUAUUGGAGAUCUGCACUCAAAAAAUUGAAUCAAGAAAAGAUUAUCAAAGGUACCAAGUAGAUAACUUACUUUCACAUGUUAUUAUGGAAUGACUAAGGCAUCUCAACCUGUUUGACAUUGCAAAGAGUUCUUAAAGAAAACCAAAGAAUCUGCAAAUCAUAUAUGAAAUCUAACAAAGUAGAUCAACUUUUGAUCUCAGUUUCCCACAGAAUCUGAAAUAACAGUCUCACAAUUAACUGCUACAUAGCAGCCUUAAAGCUUGAUCGCAUCAAUUUAUCCCUGAUACAAUAACAAUUUCACACUCAAACUGGUCAUCACUGCUAGUCCUACUGAAUAUGACUAUUUUGCCACUUAGGUUAUCAAAUAUCACACAACCUACCGCAAAGGAUAUUUUAAAUAUCGGAUCACUACACCUGGCAGCCACAAAAUUAAACCAUCCACAAUCCAAACAUAUCAACAUUGUCAAUCCUUUGGUAGCGCAGAAGAAAUACCAUAACCAGGCAUAUGCUUCCUUCACCGUGGAGAUAACAAAGAAAAUAAUGAAUUCUCUGGUUCCUUCACUUUAGAGAAAACAAUCUAUAUUUCCAUCUUUCUGCUUCCUUCUUCAGCAGCCCAUCAUUCAAUUGGCAGGCAGCAAAAAGGUUCAGUCAGACAAGCAGUUGAAAAAGAAAACUCCUCUGUGCAUCCUCCCACAGAUCCAGAACAAACAAGAAGCAGAGAACCUCUUCCAACCAACAAACUUGACACAGACACAGACAGUCAUGAAUGCUCAAAUGAACUCAGUUCACGUCUUUUUAUCCUCAAAACUAUGUUAUUAUCAUAAGCAUAAAGUUCCCAAUAAUGUUGAAAACUUCCAAUCGCCACAUUACCAGGUAUGUAAUAGUUUCCUUUCAUUGGAAAGUUACAAGCGGAAGAAGGAUUUACAACAUGAAGAGAGAAGAAAGUGUUACCAGCUAACAACUACAAAAAUCCAGACUGCAGGCUAAAAAAGAAUGAGCAUUUCUGGUAACCAGAAACAAUUACACUCAUUCUAAUUCUCAAUGUCAAUUUUUAACUAAUAAUAGAACCACUGAUAAGCUAUGAGCCACCCAAAUCUGUGUUGCUGAGACUGCCCUGAAUCUGUCCUCUGCCAUGCAGAAUGCAGUUCUGGAACAUCAAAGCAAUAAGGCACAGUUUAUGGCUCCUGAGGUUCCAACAGAUACGUGAAAACGAAGAAGUAAUAAAACAAAUUAAGGUCCGUCAUCUGGGUUGCCCAAAUAUGCAAAAUCAGAAAUGAGUUGAAGGAAUAAGAAAUGUGAGUGACCACAUCUGUAAUCUGAAAAGAACAGUCAAAAUUUAUCCUGACCGCUGAACUGAUAAAUCCAGCAAUGCAAUGAAUCUUGUUAUAAUAAAAUAAAAAGCAUGAAGCCCAAAGCAGUCCAAAAUUAACUAUGUACAGGAUGAAAAGUAGGAAACUUGGAUAUCAUGAGUCCACUGCAUUAGCAUGGCAUGCCGAUCAACCUCCAUGCAGAAGCAGACAACAAUGUUAUGAUUUGUAAUAUCAAGAAUGAUGAACUUUCCUCAUAGCCUUUUGACAGUAAUGAACAUAAUCUCACCCAAACUUGUAUUAAAAUCAAUGCUCGUGCAUACACUUGCAUCCUACUAAAUACGUCAAGCAUCAGGUAUGAAGAAUUUCUGACUAUCAGGGAUGUGAAAGACGAGUAAAACAACGAAACAACACAAUUUACAAAGAAAAAUCCACAUACUAUCGGAUUGAACAAUGGUUGCAGUGAUAGAAAACCAUCACAAUUCUCAGUGAAGGAAAGCAUAUCAACACAAAUCCCUAUUGACAGGCAUCCAAGGAAGAAACAAUAUCUGUCCUGAUUUUCUCACACAUCCAAGCAACACCUUCCAUUAUGUUUUUGUCCAACUAGCAAUAAAGCUGGAAAAAGCCAGUUCAAAACCAAGCAAGUGCUCUCACACAAGGACUCGAAUAAUAUUCCUCUUUAAACUGAAAUACGAGUUGCCAAAGAGCAAUAAACUCAAACUUGUCAAUACCUUAUUCUUGAAUCCAGAUAAAGACCAGCUGCGUAAACAGAUAACCUCUCAACCAAAAAAUAAUUCAAAAGUAUUGCUGCAUGGUACAUCCUAAUUCCAAACUUAUGAAAUAGAACUCUUCUGUAUCCAUCAGAAGUGAUAUUUCUCAAAUUAUAACACUCAUUUUUCCAUGGACAAAGCCAGGUACCUCUGUAAACCAUAUAUUCCAAAUAUCCAGAGAACACCAUUAUACCCAUACUUGGAAAAUUAAAAACUAUGUAUUCACUUCAAUCUAAUCAAUGAAAUGUGACUGAUCUUCAGCAGCCUGAUUCAACCACUCUGAACAAAAACAUCUCUAAACGCACAGCAUCUUUAAACGCACAGCAUCACAAAAGAUCAUACCAGCAAGCCAUAAAACAACAGAAAGAACAAGGCAAAUUAAUAAUAAUAGAAAUAUUUAAAAUUCAAAAAAAGGGGAACAGAGACCACCAAAACCCAUAUACCAAUGCAUAUUGCCAGUCCAAAUUAUCAUAUUUCGAGCAGAGAAAUAAUAGAAACAAUUAAGAAGUAACAAAUUACGUGAAUUUAUAUCUUUUUGAUUUAGCAUGAAAAAGUAGCUAAGGUUGAAAAAUAUUCAAAGGAUUUCAGAAAAGAACAAUUAAGCAAAAAAACUUAAAUUAAAAAAAAAAAAAAAAA
rnacentral:misc_RNA from 1 species